ACCGGGACCCGCGUGACGGCCGUUGGUUAGUCUUCCCUGGGAUUUCGGCUGGACUGGACGCAGAGAGCUUGUUUAAAACAAAAAUCCGUCCCGUGACGGUAUUAAAAUCAAAAACACUGUUAAUGUUCGGAUAUAGACUGUGGGGGAGGGAACACCAACCAGCUUAUGUUCCCCGGGCAGGGACGGACGGACUGAUGGAGGCAGGGAGGGCAGAAAUGCCCCACAGACACACAAUCAGAACUUAGUGGAAAAGCCCAGCGGAUCUGGCGGAGUUCACGUUUUAGGUGGAGAGAUUCUUCCUCAGAAGUGGAGGUGGUUACUGCAGAUGCUGAGGGUUAGAGUGGUGCCGAGGAGCGUGGGACAUUCUGAUGAAGGCCUUUUGUCCGAAAUGUUUAUUUUCAUGCCAGGCGGACGCUGUCUGAGCUGCUGUUGCGUUUCCAGCACCAACUCUGAUCCUUCCUCAAAGGUACCUUUGGCCCAACCCCUCUGUGCUGAUCGGACUCCGGAUUGGCCGGAACCACGGCGAUUGACAGGUUACUUGACCAUUCGGAUCCCGAGAUAGUGCUAACCCCCGCCCUGAGGGAUCCUGCGCAGGCUCGAGGCGCUGCUGUUGAUCUGAGUCUGCGCGGAGGCGGGGCGUCUGGCUUCCAGGAAGUGCACACGCGUGGUGUUUAAACCCGGAACUGGGAAUGUCUUCUGCGUGGUUUCGGCUGAGCGGACUGAGUAUUAUCAUCCUUCCAAUGAGGGUGAAGGUAUUCAGCAGAAACACAAGGAAAUACUCCAGGUACAAACUGAAAAGCUGUGUGAUCACUAUCCGAAGAAACAAGUUUCCAGCUGGUUGAUCGAUAUGCUGAGUUAAUGCUAAUCGCUAAUGUACGAAAUUGGACAUUUAGAGAAGAUGAACAUCUGGUAAGAGGCUGAGUCCGUGAAGAGUGUAGAGAGAAACAUCCCUGGAGAGAACUGGACAAAACACAAACUGAUCAGUUGUCCAAGAGCAGGUUUUUUUUUCUCCCCAGAGAACUUCCACAUCUGGGAGUGUGGUAGCAGUGAUUGGGGACCCAGGGACUGGAAAAACAACAAUGGUAGAAAAGACUGAUUGGGCCACUGGGAAAAUAUACCCAGAAUUUUUAUCUGUUUUCCGUUUUAAAUUUCGGGAUUUGUAUGCUAUUCACUCAGGAAUGCUGGAGCAGUAUCCUUAUUUUGGGAAUGAUAUGGGAGAGGUCUGGAAGAACCCAGAGGGAUUGCUCUUUAUAUUUGAUGGUUUGUAAGAAAUCAAAUACAGUAUCGAUUUUUCUGAUGGUCUUAAAAGUAGACCCUCAGUUCAUGUGCACUGAUUCUGAAUGCUGGUGUGACAGUGUCUGACAUUGUGUACACUCUAAUCCAGCAUAAGCUGCUCCCGGGAUGUUCAGUGCUCGUGGCCAGCUGUCCCAUUUAAUGGAAAUAGCUGAGAUCAUGUCUGGGCUGAAAUCCUGCGAUUUGUUGGUGAUGAGCGGAAUGAAUAUUUCAACAGGCUUUUUGAAGAUCAGAUGAUGGCAGCCGCUGUUUUCAAACAAGUGAAGGGGAACAAGAUCCUAUGUACCAUGGUCUACAACGUUUUGUACUACUGGAUCCUCGAUCUGUUACUGAGUCCCUUUUUCACAUAACAAGACAGGAAGCUGCAGCAACUUCCCAAGAUUAUCACCCAACUAUAUUUUUACUAUAGUUACAACGUUGUGAAAAACCAUGGCUGAGAGAUUGAAGACCCCUGUGUUGUGUAACUGAAGCUUGGUGAGAUGGCUUUCACAGGAUUCUGAAGAGGAAGGUUGUGUUCAGGAAUGUAAUUCUUGUCUGUUUUCCUAAUGGAACUAUUGGAGAGAGAUGAUUCUGUGCACUGGGUGGUUAACACAUUCCCACACCUCGCCAGCCAAGAGUUUGUCGCUGCCUUUGCCCCAGAUCCCAGGGACAUUUGAAGCUCUGCAGUGAAGCCCAUAGCAAGGAAAACGAGCUUGAUGGAUUGAGGCUGGCUCCUGGUGGAUAGUGGAAUGUCAGUGAAUUCUAUGACACAAUUAACCACCUCAACGUGCAAGACAAUUCUGAAGGAUUCCAAUAUCUGGCUCCUGAAUGCCAAGUAUUGAGCGUAUCAACAAAGAUGUCCAAGGGAUGCUAGACGUCUCACUUCUGGAGAAGCCAGGCUUAAACGACACUCCUAGAAAUACCAAAUAACAUCCAGGAAUGGAAACGUUUGAGCAGUUGGCUCUCCAUUGAUUAUUGCUUUGCAGAAAAUCCAAGUAUUUAAUAAAUGACAAAAGAGUCUCCAGAGUAAUGACCCAGAAGAUUCAGAAAUAAAAUUACAUCUGUGGUUGAGAGGAAACCGAACUGCAGAAUACAGGGACUGGACAUUAAUGGUGUCCGUGACAGAUUCUGGGACCUAGGACCUCAUCUCUGCUCUCACGGCACACUGAUCAGUGAUGGACCUGGCCCAAAGUGAUGAUAAAUUGGGUCAUUUCUGUAGCUCUGGGGAUUCCAAACUGUAAAAUAUAGAUUCUGAGGGUAUGUGCUGCUGCCUUCUCAGAGCUUUGUGCUGAGAAACUUGCCCUUGCUUUCAGUACAAACCAGUCACUGAUGGAGUUGUCCAUCUCAUUAAACAUCUUCACCAACAAUUCUGUCCCCUCAUUUUUGCAUGGUGUACAAACUGCACAGUCUGCAAUGGAUCAAAUUGUGAGGAAAUGGAGUUCACUCCAAAUGGGAAGUCGCUCCGAUCCAGACCGAGAGGGACUGUGUGAAUCUUGGAAGUUAUAGCAUCACUACUGUUGUUAUUUGAAUAUUUGUCGCUGAUUCUGCACCCCACCCCCCCCCCCUUCCUUCAACCGGCUGUGUUCAAGGUUGAAAUUCUAUUGACGAUUUCCCAGUCUCCACUUGAGCUAAGGUCAUCUCUCAUUGUGAGGUCAGAGGGCCCAGUCAUAGAGUCAUUAGACUCAGGGACUCAGCACUCAGUGUGGCUUCUACAGGAUAUCUUUGCCUCAUUGUGACCUGCUGGGGACAUACAUUGGCAUCAAGGAGCCAGAGUUGGACUCUGUCUGGGCUGCAAUGGAACAGUGACAGUUACACUCAAUAUUCGUGUGUCUGUGGGGUAGAUUACUCCAGGUUCCUGCUCAGUACCUUACGCAGUAAGGAAGGUUUAGAUUACUUACAGUAGUGGAAACAGGCCCUUCGGCCCAACAAGUCCACACCGACCCUCCGAAGAGCAACCCACCCAGACCUAUUCCCCAACAUUUAACCCUUCACCUAAUACUACAGGCAAUUUAGCAUGGCCAAUUCACCUAACCUGCACAUUUUUGGACUGUGGGAGGAAAUCGGAGCACCCGGAGGAAACCCAUGCAGACACUGGGAGAACGUGCAAACUCCACACAGACAGUUCCCUGAGGUGGGAAUUGAACCCGGGUCUAUGGCGCUAUGAGGCAGUAGUGCAAACCACUGUGCCGCCAUGUGAAUCUGUGUCAGAGUGAAAGGGGACUGUGCCUCUCACUUGAGAUGGACUCCCCUUCCAAUAACAUCCACUCUCUGGAUUCACUCAGAGUGACAGCUUUGUUUUGGAUAUUCCUCGAAUUGGACUUCACAAUCAAGCAGCUCCAGAGAGAGAGAAAACUAAAGGAUAAGCUUGAGCAUGGAACAUUGAGCACAAAACCUCAGCUUCCUGGGUAACUGCAGGAGUAAAUUCUCAGAGUGACAGAACGUUCCUAUACUUUGUUAGGAUGAUCUCCUCACUCUGUUGCAUUAUGUUGAAGUAUUUGCAGUAUUGCUUUUUCUUUUGAAGAGAAUAUUCCAUCAGUGAUAGUAUAGUGUCUGGAAAUGGCAGAAUCCAAGCAUGAAUGAGAACCAGAUAUUAAAACAAAACAUUCUGAUCACGCAUUUUGUCAAAAGAUGUGUGGUCUUAAUACAGGAACCGGUUGUAAAAGACAACAUGCCAGUGACAAUCAGACAACCGUGCAGAAUAAAAACUAAGAACUGUGGAUGCUGUAAAUAAGAAACAAAAA